rnacentral:rRNA from 1 species
UGCGUAGGCGGAAUGAUAAGUUAGUGGUGAAAUCCCUCGGCUCAACCGGGGCACUGCCAUUAAAACUGUCAUUCUUGAGUAUAGUUGAAGUGGGCGGAAUGUAUCAUGUAGCGGUGAAAUGCUUAGAUAUGAUACAGAACACCGAUAGCGUAGGCAGCUUGCUAAACUAUAACUGACGCUCAGGCACGAACGCGUGGGGAGCGAACAGGAUUAGAUACCCUGGUAGUCC